GCGGUAUACGUAGGGCGCAAGCGUUGUCCGGAAUUAUUGGGCGUAAAGAGCUCGUAGGCGGUUUGUCGCGUCUGCUGUGAAAACCUAAGGCUCAACCUUGGGCUUGCAGUGGGUACGGGCAGACUAGAGUGCGGUAGGGGUGACUGGAAUUCCUGGUGUAGCGGUGGAAUGCGCAGAUAUCAGGAGGAACACCGAUGGCGAAGGCAGGUCACUGGGCCGCAACUGACGCUGAGGAGCGAAAGCAUGGGGAGCGAACAGGAUUAGAUACCCUGGUAGUCCAUGCCGUAAACGUUGGGCACUAGGUGUGGGGCUCAUUCCACGAGUUCCGUGCCGCAGCAAACGCAUUAAGUGCCCCGCCUGGGGAGUACGGCCGCAAGGCUAAAACUCAAAGAAAUUGACGGGGGCCCGCACAAGCGGCGGAGCAUGCGGAUUAAUUCGAUGCAACGCGAAGAACCUUACCAAGGCUUGACAUACACCGGAAACUUCCAGAGAUGGUUGCCCCGCAAAGGUCGGUGUACAGGUGGUGCAUGGUUGUCGUCAGCUCGU
rnacentral:rRNA from 1 species